GCUCCUACGGGGGGCAGCAGUGGGGAAUCUUCCGCAAUGGGCGCAAGCCUGACGGAGCAAUGCCGCGUGAACGAAGAAGGUCUUCGGAUUGUAAAGUUCUGUCCUUAUCGAAGAGAGGGUAUAGAGUGAAAAAUGAUAUACUAGGACGGUAGAUGAGGAGGAAGCCCCGGCUAACUACGUGCCAGCAGCCGCGGUAAUACGUAGGGGGCGAGCGUUGUCCGGAUUUAUUGGGCGUAAAGCGAGUGCAGGCGGUUCCAUAA
rnacentral:rRNA from 1 species